rnacentral:tRNA from 1 species
GGCCCAUUCGUCUAGAGGACUAGGACAUCGGCCUCUCAAGCCGGAAACACGGGUUCGAACCCCGUAUGGGCCA